CCUUCAGUAGUUCAGCUGGUAGAGCAGAGGACUGUAGGCUUCCUUGCACAGCCAUCCUUAGGUUGCCAGUUCAACUCUGGCUCGAAGAA
rnacentral:tRNA from 1 species